UACAGCUUCAAUCACCCGCAGCUUCAAUCACCUGCACCUUCACACACCUGCAGCUUCACACACCUGCCUACGACAUCUUACCCCAAGUGAAGUGUGGCUUAUGGCUGGUACCCUGAUGAUGUGUGGGUGAUGUCAACAAACAGUGUCUAAAUCCUAAGCUUCAAGACUUAGCUUAAGACAGUGGAAAUUAUUACAUCAACUGUGUCGUCUUGCAAUUUCCAACACCUGCCCGGUACCUCUUAUGGUUGAUGUGAGGGUGAGUGGACCUACAGGCCACACGGACCACGACUCACGGACUACUAAAACUACCACCAAUAACGGACAACCGUCAGAAAUACACAACACCACCAAUCACUGUGGGACAGUGUGUGUUACUGAGGGAUGUG